rnacentral:rRNA from 1 species
GGGCUAGCGUUGUUCGGAAUUACUGGGCGUAAAGCGCGCGUAGGCGGACCUGCAAGUCGGGGGUGAAAGCCCGAGGCUCAACCUCGGAACUGCCUUCGAUACUGCGGGUCUCGAGUCCGGGAGAGGUGAGUGGAAUUCCUAGUGUAGAGGUGAAAUUCGUAGAUAUUAGGAAGAACACCAGUGGCGAAGGCGGCUCACUGGCCCGGUACUGACGCUGAGGCGCGAAAGCGUGGGGAGCAAACAGG